UUGGAUCUCUCAUCAAAUUCUUUGUCUGGCGAGAUACCUCCUUACCUUUCAAAACUUGAACAUCUGAAUGUUCUGCGUUUAGGUCACAAUCAUCUUACUGGAAAAAUACCAUCUGGCUUCAUGAACUCUUCUCUUUUGGUACUUGAUGUCUCCUUCAAUAAUUACAACUUCUCUUCUGGUACUUGAUGUCUCCUUCAAUAAUUUAUCAGGUCCUCUUCCUCUAAAUUCAAACUUGGUCAAGUGUGACAACUUCCGAGGAAAUCCUGAUCUCGAGCCAUGUAAAGAUGACUCACCA
rnacentral:lncRNA from 1 species